ensembl:lncRNA
AAUUGUAUGCGUGUACCAGGUGGGUGAUAUGCUGGCUCCAACACUGUUUCUUUGCAGUGUCCAUGGUACCGAGCAUUGCUAGAAGGGUUCUGUUGAAUCUUUCCGGUUGCGCAUCACCUUGCGGGUGGUAGGGAGACGUUCGUGACUUCCGAAUCUCCAACAUGGACAACAGCUCCUUGAUCAGUCGACUCUCAAAGUCUCUGCCCUGAUCAGAGUGUAUUCGUGCAGGUAGACCGUAGUGUGCGAAGUACUUCUCCCACAAGACUUUUGCAACGGUAAUGGCUCUUUGAUCUUUGGUAGGAAACGCCUGUGCAUAACGUGUAUAGUGAUCUGUCACAACUAACACAUUUGCAACACCUUUAGAAUCCGGCUCUAUCUGUAAGAAAUCAAUGCAGACCAAGUCUAGAGGGCCAUUGCUUGUUAUCUGAUUCAAGGGCGAGGCACGCUGAGGGAGCGUCUUCCUGGAGAUGCACCUUCCACAAGUGCGAAUAUACUGCUCAAUCUCAGCUGCCAUACGAGGCCAGUAAAACCUCUCUUUAAUCAGUUCUGUUGUUCGCUCUGCUCCCAUGUGCCCACACUCAUCAUGCAGAGACCUUAACACCAUAGACCUGUAUCUUGCUGGCAAGACAAGCUGCCGGCUUUGUUUUCCAGCCAUUUUUUCUUUUACUCUGUAGAGUAUUCCAUCACUCAACUCCAAUUUGCGACUUUCACGGAGGAGCAUCACAGUCUCUGGCGAGUCAGUUUUAGAGCGAGCAAACUCUUUAUUGCUCUUGAUGGCUUUCUUCAAUGGCCCAAUGGUAGGGUCCAUAUCUUGUGAUGUUUGAAUGUCUUUUGGGCUCAGCUGAUCGAGGAUGUUUACGCUGAGAUUCACAGGAAAUGCAUAGGCUUCUGGUACUGCAGAGGCAGGAGCACCAAGUUGAUCCACCAAUCUGUCAGGUACAACUGCUCCUUCCCUGAUGCAGGCUCGUUUACAGAGAGCUUUAAUGCCAGCAGGCGGGAUGGAAGUCCAUUCUCCAACUUCCUCUUGGGCAUACUGUCGGGACAGCAAGUCAGCAUCAAUGUUGUGGCGCCCAGGGCGGUACUGUAUGGUGAAAUCAUACGUGGCGAGGGCAGCGAGCCAGCGAUGCCCUACAGCACUGAGCUUAGCCGAGGUCAAUACAUACGUUAAGGGGUUAUUGUCAGUCCUGACAAUGAAUUUGGCACCAUACAGGUAGUCGUGAAAUUUAUCCACAACGGCCCACUUUAAUGCCAAGAAUUCCAGUUGAUGAACUGGAUAGUUACGUUCUGAGUC